GCAGUCUUUAGCUCUUCUAUAUCAAUAUACAAAAAGCUUUCGAGUUUAACGCAGUAAAAUAUAUCUUCAAACAAUUCACAAUAUAAUACUUGACGGAAGAUGCAGGCUAUAACACUAAUUUCUUUCAUUUUGGUUCUGCUGGCUAUUGUCGAUUUGUCGAUGCAGUGCAUUGCUAGUGGCGAGCCUUGUCGUUAUGACGGUAGUUGGGGAAAUUGCUGUUCUGGAUAUUGCAACCAGCUGGAGGGUUAUCAAUAUGGAAAUUGUCGGUGAAGAGUGGAAUUUGCUUGCACAUCGUCUUUAAUGUUUAAAGCUUUUAAGCUGGAAUUUUAAGUUUUCUUUCUAUCAAUUUAAUGAUAAAAAUUUGGUUUAAUU